rnacentral:rRNA from 1 species
AGAAUCAACGCUGGCGGCGUGCCUAACACAUGCAAGUCGCACGAGAAAGGGUAGCAAUACCUGAGUACAGUGGCGCACGGGUGAGUAACACGUGAAUAAUCUACCUCCGAGUGGGGAAUAACUGAGAGAAAUCUUAGCUAAUACCGCAUAACACUUACGAGUCAAAGCAACAAUGCGCUUGGAGAGGAGUUCGCGGCAGAUUAGUUAGUUGGCGGGGUAAUGGCCCACCAAGACGAUGAUCUGUAUCCGGCCUGAGAGGGCGCACGGACACACUGGAACUGAAACACGGUCCAGACUCCUACGGGAGGCAGCAGUGGGGAAUUUUGCGCAAUGGGGGAAACCCUGACGCAGCAACGCCGCGUGGAGGAUGAAGCCCCUUGGGGUGUAAACUCCUUUCGAUCGGGAAGAUAAUGACGGUACCGAUAUAAGAAGCCCGGCUAACUUCGCGCCAGCAGCCGC